rnacentral:tRNA from 1 species
GACUCUUAAGAUUUAGAUCAUUCAAUUUUGAAAGUUGAAGAAGGGGGUAUCCCCAGGAGUCU